AAUGGAUGGGAGCUUGCUCCCANAAGUUAGCGGCGGACGGGUGAGUAACACGUGGGCAACCUACCUGUAAGACUGGGAUAACUUCGGGAAACCGGAGCUAAUACCGGAUAACUUCCUUUCUUCUCCUGGAGAAAGGUUGAAAGACGGCUUCGGCUGUCACUUACAGAUGGGCCCGCGGCGCAUUAGCUAGUUGGUGAGGUAACGGCUCACCAAGGCAACGAUGCGUAGCCGACCUGAGAGGGUGAUCGGCCACACUGGGACUGAGACACGGCCCAG
rnacentral:rRNA from 1 species